AGAUGUCCGAUCACUCCACAUGAAGUCAAAAUGAGAAAGAGGCCGCUCACAAGGACGUGGUGGAGGAGAGAGUGUGAGAGCGAAGGUGAUGCCCCAAGGGGCUCUCAGAUGGAGCUCUCUGCACUACUGUUGAGAUUUGAAAACUGCAGCACAAUUCCCCAAGGGGAGAGCAGAAUGUUCUUCUAAGGGGAAAAUGCCGGGAUUUGGUUGUUUUCUGUUUUCAUCCUUCAGAGAGUUGGAUUUCUAUCCUAAGGCAGUGUUGUGGCAGCGCCUCUUCUCCCCGGGGACCCUGGACCUCUGCUUGGUGUCUCCAUCUGCUGCAGCCUUCGUGCCUUAGCUCUGUGCCCAGCUGCAACCUCUGUCUGCGUGGGGAUUGGAUGCUAGAGCAUUUGGGAGCUUGUCAUGUGUCCCUGCUCGUCCCCCAUGACAGUCUGCCUGUGAGAUCUGGACAGGUGUCAGCACACUCACGGCCGAUGCGGUGUUUCCCUAGCACCUUGGAUGUUCGUCACAGACCCGGAGCAUGUGGCAUGCUGGAAAGGCAUGGAGUCCACAGAACCCACAGGGCAGCGAAGCUACAAAGUGUGUUUACCAAUUGAGGUCGUGUCAAGCAGGGUAGGUCCAGCCCUGCAGUGCAUGUAGUGGGGACUCUGCUGGAGGAGACAAGGCCCCAGGGUGGUCCCCACAGCAUGUGGGUGCUAUAAAGGAAAUUCAGUGAUACACUUGUCUCAUCCCGGACACAAACUCUGUACCUAAGAGGAAAUGACUUCUCAAAGGAGAUGACUUUAUGAAUGUUUAAAAUGCCUGGAGCAUUAAAGUAAAGUAAUAGUAUUUCAAA